CGUAUAUGUAGAAGUGUCAAUACUACGCGCAAGAGUGCCCACAAAAUCAGAACCAGACCAGACCUCCUAUCUAGAGCAGAGCUUACAACCUCACUCAGCAGGAUGCUGAAGGCAACCCGACGUGAUACAGGGUCUGUAUAUUAUCUGUAAUUACAUUACACAUGUUUUGAUUGAUACUGGUGCUUCACAUUCAUUUAUCUCACACGCAUUUACACCAAACUUAAAU
rnacentral:lncRNA from 1 species